GUGGUGGGGACACCAAGGUGGCACCUGCUGGAACUUGGAGGACCCCAAGGUGGGACCUGGAGGAGAUCUGGGGUCACCAAAGUGGGACCUGGAAAUGGUGGGGGCACCAAGGGGGUCAUAGUGGAAGUUGGAGGUCACCAAGGUGGGACCUGGUGGAUCUGAAGAAGAUUGAGGGGCACCAAGGUGGGACCUGCUGGAGAUUGGUGUCACCAAGGUGGGACCUGAUGGACAUUGGGGUCACCAAGGUGGAACCUUGAGGA
rnacentral:lncRNA from 1 species